rnacentral:pre_miRNA from 1 species
UAUAUACUCCCUUCGUCCGGAAAUACUUGUCAUCAAAAUGGAUAAAAUGGAUGUAUCUAGAUGUAUUUUAGUUUUAGAUACAUUCCUUUUUGUCCAUUUUGAUGACAAGUAUUUUCGGACGGAGGGAGUAUAAU